AGUCGAGCGGUAGCACAAGGGAGCUUGCUCCCUGGGUGACGAGCGGCGGACGGGUGAGUAAUGUCUGGGAAACUGCCUGAUGGAGGGGGAUAACUACUGGAAACGGUAGCUAAUACCGCAUAACGUCGCAAGACAAAGAGGGGGACCUUCGGGCCUCUUGCCAUCUGAUGUGCCCAGAUGGGAUUAGCUAGUAGGUGGGGUAAUGGCUCACCUAGGCGACGAUCCCUAGCUGGUCUGAGAGGAUGACCAGCCACACUGGAACUGAGACACGGUCCAGACUCCUACGGGAGGCAGCAGUGGGGAAUAUUGCACAAUGGGCGCAAGCCUGAUGCAGCCAUGCCGCGUGUGUGAAGAAGGCCUUCGGGUUGUAAAGCACUUUCAGCGAGGAGGAAGGUGGUGAGCUUAAUACGUUCAUCAAUUGACGUUACUCGCAGAAGAAGCACCGGCUAACUCCGUGCCAGCAGCCGCGGUAAUACGGAGGGUGCAAGCGUUAAUCGGAAUUACUGGGCGUAAAGCGCACGCAGGCGGUUUGUUAAGUCAGAUGUGAAAUCCCCGGGCUCAACCUGGGAACUGCAUUUGAAACUGGCAAGCUAGAGUCUCGUAGAGAGGGGGUAGAAUUCCAGGGUGUAGCGGUGAAAUGCGUAAAGAUCUGGAGGAAUACCGGUGGCGAAGGCCGGCCCCUCUGGACUAAGACUGACGCUCAGUGCGAAAGCGUGGGGAGCAACAUGAUAAGAUACCCCUGGUCAUCCACGCUGUAACGAUGUCGAUUUGGCAGGUUGUG
rnacentral:rRNA from 1 species